UGCCAGUGAUAAACUGGAGGAAGGUGGGGAUGACGUCAAGUCAUCAUGGCCCUUACGACCAGGGCUACACACGUGCUACAAUGGCGCAUACAAAGAGAAGCGACCUCGCGAGAGCAAGCGGACCUCAUAAAGUGCGUCGUAGUCCGGAUUGGAGUCUGCAACUCGACUCCAUGAAGUCGGAAUCGCUAGUAAUCGUGGAUCAGAAUGCCACGGUGAAUACGUUCCCGGGCCUUGUACACACCGCCCGUCACACCAUGGGAGUGGGUUGCAAAAGAAGUAGGUAGCUUAACCUUCGGGAGGGCGCUUACCACUUUGUGAUUCAUGACUGGGGUGAAGUCGUAACAAGGUAACCGUAGGGGAACCUGC
rnacentral:rRNA from 53 species